AAACAUCACAUUAAACUGUCAGGACAGGAAACCCUGGGAGUUGUGUGGUCUGCACCGCCCCACCCCUCUCCCCAAGACUAAGACCAAGCUACUAGAUUUGGGGAGGGAAUGAGGACACGGGAGGCGGGUGGAGUGCGUGCGGGGGUGGGAGAGUGGGUGUAGGUGUGGGGAGGUGAUGUGCCCAAGCUAAUUCCCCCAAGGCCUCUCUACUCCUUAAGCGCGUGGAUGACCAAACACCAGGGCAUGCCCAGGUAGCGCUGGCCUAAAGUUCUCGUUUUUAUUUUCUUCUUCAGUAGUGAAAUCACAGCUUCUUUACAAAUGCCCAGAAGAAUCCCAGGCGCUCUGCUUCUUGACGGAAGCGAGAGGGGCGCUUUUUAGCAGCUAGUGCUGGGCCCCACUGUGGCCAGGGCAUCGAGGCAAACCCUGGCAUUUUGGGGGUGAACGGACCCCGACUGGAGACGGGGGAAGUAGAGGGUGCCCGCGGAGAUCUGAGCGCAGAGACCCUAGGAGGGCGGGUUCCAGAUCCCAUAAAUGAGAUAAUUAACGGGAUUUACAGCACUCCUAGGCGGGGCUCCUGCCCUUCUCCCAUCCCACGCGCAGCCAGGAGCCGGGCGGCCCCGGGCACUCGCUGGGAGGCAGCUGCGAUUAGCGCCCUAAUCCCCAGCGCAGACCGCGCAGAGACCGGAGCGGGAGCGGGGCCGCGGCGGGAGCCCCCCACCGUCCCGGGCAGUCCAGACGGCCGGGGCAGCGUGGGAACUGGGACCUCGGGGACCCAGCGCGGCGGCUGUCAGCUCUGGGGAACCAGCUGAUGUAUGGGCCAGGUGAUGUAUGGACCCCUGAUAUAUGGAGCAGCUGAUGUAUGGACCCCUGGUAUAUAGACCACUGAUGUGUGAACCUCCUGAUGAGUGACCCACCAAUAUAUGGACCAGUUGAUGUAUGGACCCACUGAUGUAUGGACCAGCUGAUGUAUGCACCCACUCAGUUCCUGGCAAAGAUUCCAUGAUGAAGAUGCCAAAAGCAAUUGCAACAAAACCAAAAAUUGACAAAUGGGACCUAAUUAAAGUAAAGAGCUUCUGCACGGCAAAAGAAACUAUCAACAGAGUAAACAGACAACCUACAGAAUGGGAGAAAUAUUUGCAAACUAUGCAUCCGACAAAGGUCUAAUAUCCAGAAUCUUUAAGAAACUUAAAACUUUCAUAUGCACAGGAAAGGAAAAAAAUUGUAUUGACUCGCUUUAUUGUGAUAGUCACUUUAUUGUGGUGGUCUGGAACCUGCAAUAUCUCCAAAGUAUGCCUGUACAAGUUUUUGUAGGGCGAUAUUUUUCCAUGUUUCUUUGGUAUAUAUCUCAAGGUGGAAUUGUUGGGUUAUCUAAGUAAUCAUAAGUAGGUUUAUAAUAUAUAUUCUAGAGAUUGUAGGCUAUUCUACCAAGAAACAGAGCUGAGGGCUUAAAGACCUGAGUUUGUCACUUUCCCACCUCUGUAAAUUCUCCAGCGCCAUCAGAAGCAGCCAGCUGCAUUCUUAAGGCUUUGCCUUCCGGGCCACUCUGCUGCAAGCAACCACAGGUAAUUACGGAUUCAUCACAGGCACUGGAAGACUGAAAGAACAAAAAGCAGAUGCUAAGAUAACCCUGAAAUUAUUCACACCAGGAAGAAACUACCAUCCCAGGCUGAGAGAACAAAAGGGAAGGAAUAUUGCUAUCAGGACCUUGGUGUUGUAGGGAUUCCACUUAAACCGCUGAGGGAAAUCUCUACACAGCUAGUACUGCAGCCUCUGAGAAUAGGGUGCCAUGUUCUGGAGAUCAGACCUUCAGGGGGACAUUUUGUACUGCUAGUGCCUAGACGCUAAGUAGGGUGUUGAUAGUGGUGGACCCUCAUAUUUAAAGGAGGGUCUUCAGUCUAGCUGGUACCUGUACCUCUAAAAAGGAAGUCUGGCCAUACCCUGGAUGUCUGAGCUGGCAGCACAACCCAGUGGAUAUUCCAGUCACUCAUGGGGCAGGGAUUGUGCCCCACAGACGCUCGAAUGGUCCAGAAGCACUGGCUCAGGGUGAGAAAAAAAGCAUAGCCCACCUGGCUGUACAACUGCAAAGGGGAUAUGGUCCAGCUCCUGUGGACAUCACUGAACAGGCACAGCAUGGCAGGUGCUGGGAGCAGUCACACAGUGGGCAGCUAGAACCUUCUCCCUGCUGCUAUGAGAGCAACACUGAUUGGAACUGGACACUGUGGGGAGAAAAAAGCCUUUUUUGUCCACUUCCUACCUAGCCAAUCUCCCCUGAAUGCUUCCUAUUGACAGAACCUAAAAGGAAGUCAGUUGGUGAGGGGACUAAGAAGUGGAGUUUGGAGAUCUUCAGCUCCAAAUGGAGCUGAGAGACCAGAGGGCAGAAGAUGAAGAGCCAGAAAACCUGGAUCCUGGCCCCAACCCAGCACUGACUGGGCUUACUUUGAUGGUCUGGAUAUACAGGCAUGUCAUCUGAAAUGAAGACAUUGUUGUCUCUUCUGCCUACAGAACCACAGGGUCAGCUGUGCCCCUUCCCCUUUCAGUAUAUUCCCAUAUUACAAUUUCUCCUGGAUAAAACCAGAGAAUGAGUCUCUAAACAAAGUAGGCAGAGAGCUGAAAAGAAGAGGCUUCAAGGAAGGAGAUUCCCAGCAUAGGCAAUUGGUUACAGAGUGAAGGAAAGUAGAGAAUAGGCAGAAAAAAAGGAUUCCAGGAUGGCUGAAACAACAUCUUUAAAGACUGAAAAAGAAAAAAAAAACUAUCACCAUCAAUUUCUAUAUCUAGCUCAACUAUCCUUCCAGAAUGAAAGCAAAAUAAGGACACUUUCAGACAAAAAAAAGAGAAAGAAGAUUUGUUUUCAGCAGACCUAGACUACAAUAAAUGCUAAAUAGAGAAAGUUCUUCAGGAUAAAGGCAAAUUAUAACAGAUGGAAAUCUGGAUCUUCAGAAAACAAAGAAGAGCACAGGAAAUGGUUACUGAUGUUACCAAACACAAAGUCCACUCCUGAAGCCCACUGGGAUGUAAAAUCCAUGACUACAGAGAUUUUGUGGGUCUUGUUCAUCAUUGCAUAUCAUCGGCAUCUAACACAGUGCUUGGCUUCUCAGAAGAAAAAUAGAAUUACCAUUCAACCUAGUGAUCCCAUUUAUAGGUAAGUACCCAAAGGAAAAUAAAUUGCUCUACCAAAAAGUUACCUGCUCUCAUAUGUGUAUUGCAGCACUAUUCACAAUAGCAAAAUUAUGGGAUCAACCUAGGUGCUCAUCAACAGUGGAUUGGAUAAAUAAAAUGUGGUACAUAUACACCAUGGAGUACUAUGCAGCCAGAAGUAAGAAUGGAAUCAUGUUUUCUGUAGCAACUGGAGCUGGAAGCCAUCCUCCUAAGUCAAUUAAUGCAGAAACAGAAAAAUCAAAUACUGUGGGUUCUCACUUAUAAGUGGGAGCAAAACAAUGGAGACACAUGGACAUAAAGGUGAAAACAAUAGACGCUGGGGCCUCCAAAAGAGAGAAAGGAGAGAGGAGAGGAAAGGUUGAAAUAUGACCUGUGGGGUACCAUGUUCACUAUUCAGGUGAUGGGUUCGAUAGAAGCCCAAACUCCAGCAUCUUGAAAUAUAUCCAUGUAACAAACCUGCAAUGUACUCCUGAAACUAAAAUUAAAAAAAAAAGAAAUAAAAUAAAAUAAAAACAGUGCUUGGUCCUUAAGAGGUAUUCACUAAUUCAUUGUCCAAUGAAUGAAGUACUGUGAGGGAAUGAGUUGUUGAAUAAGAAGGGAAUGGUUUGACUAGUCUGAAAAGCUAACCUGAGAUAGGAUAGGGACAGAUUGUAAAGGCCUUGAAUAUCCCACUAAGGUGACUAAAUUUGACUUAGUUGGUAAUGAGACUUAUGUAACAAGACCCAUGUAAGACUUUAAGAUCAAUCAAGAGAUGGUGUGUAGGACAGGUGGACAGGGAUACUGAAGGCGACAAAACCCAUUAAAAACCCACUAUUGGAAUUGUCCAAGCCAGGUGUGAGGUGGCACUGACAAAGGUAGUGCUAAUAGAAAGGGGAGGAGAAAUCAUAAUGAAAUUCUCCAUUGUUCCUGGCAACAAAUUAAAAGUAGAAGGUGAAAGAGAAUGGGAUCCCAGGUUUAGCUUGGAGCCAGCAGCAGAACUGAUCUCCAAGGGAUGGGCGGCUUUGGGAAAUAUUAAUUUUGACACCCCAAAUGCCAUAUCUGAGUGCACAGUUGAAAACAGGGGCCUACACCUCAGGAGAUGAGUUCUAAGUAGAUUUGGGAAUUAGAGAUCACUCUUAACUGAUUUGGCCGAUCCUGAAGCAAUAGCAACUGAUGAAAUAAAUGGAUAGAUAGAUAGAUAGAUAGAUAGAUAGAUAGAUAGAUAGAUAAAAAUAAAAAAUUAACUGAUUUGGCCCAGUUCUCAAGUCAUGAAAGAGGAUGACACCACCAAGGGGUGAAUGAGCAUAGCAAGAGAGUGUGAAAUAUCAAAAAGAGAAUCUUGAAAAAUGUCAUUUACACACACAUAGUCCUAACAAGAGGAGAAUAGUUGGUGCCAAGCAAAGGAAAACAGGGCAGGGCACACAGGCGCAGAAGCCAGGGGAGGAAGGUUGUCAAAAUCCCACUUGAGGGGACCGGAUGAAAAAGCGGCCAGUGGGUGUGGUAAUUGGAGGUCGCCCUUAAACGAGUAUUAAUUCAAGGCGCAGGUAAGAAACAUGGAGAAGAGCAGCGCAAAGCACGUGUGAGGCAAACGCUACGGCAGCACGUGAGGAUGGUGGCAGCGAACGAAGGGCAGGAUGGACCAGGUGUUGAGGGUGACAGCCCAGCUCGGAGAGGUUUUGUUUAGGGUAGGGGAGACCUGAGCACAUUUGUAGAAGGCAGUGAAGCCAUUGGAGAGAGAUUGACUAUGCUAAGACACAAGAGGGAGAGGAGAUACCUGACUGGGCAUAAAGGUCAAGAAGUCAAAAACGAACGGAAAUGAGAGCCCGGUGCAACCUUAACAGCCUUAGAAAGGGAGCUACAAACAGCUGUGGUUUACCAGCACUGAUGUUUCUCGACCACGCUUCAAAGCAUAGCUUCAAGAGCAGGGUCGAUCUUUCUUAAUUACCCAGCUUCUGUGGCUAUCAUAUAUAUAGCCUUGGGGCUGGAACAGAGGAGGGAGGCUCUUAGUAAAAGCCCUCGAUGACAGUGGCAGUGUCAUUCCCACUUUGCAGACAUUCCAUUCAUUCUUACACUGUCUUUCAGCAGAACGUGGGACAGGUAUUGUUGUGAGGGCCAGAAAUGGGAGCUCUGAUUUGGAUGCCAAAAUCAAAGUUAGGAAAGGGGCCAGUGUUUCCUGUUGCCCCCUAGAUAGCCCCACAUUGCUCUGCAAAACCGCAAUAGUCACUUAACCCCCGGGCACUCACACCAGGGGAAAAGAAUGCUAACAGUUCCAACAAAAAUACUUGAACUCUCUUCAGUUCCUUGCAUCUGACCUUGAUAUUUUCCCUUGAAAAUGAACCACAGUAGCUCCAAGGAGUACAGGGAAAGGGACCAGAUGGACAAUAAGAUAAGGGGUUUGGAUUUGCCUAAAAAGUAGGACUAAACUUUGAACUUGGUUAUAUUCUUAGUUUUUUAGCUAUAGCCAAGCUUUUCCAAGUGUAUAAAAGCUGCCAACAAUCUUUCCAUUUGUUAGGAACUGCACUUAGCAAUUACCCUGCAUGUCAAUAAAAACAAGGGCUUACUAUGUACCAGGUACUGUUCCAAUCACUUUACACAUAUUAUCUCAUUUAUUAUUAUCCUGUGGAGAUUCUUGUUAGGAUUAAAUGAGAUAAUACAUGGAAAGAGCUACCUUUCUCCUCAUUUACAUGUAAGGGAACUCUGGCUUGGAGAACCCGGCCACAUAUUUUAAAGUAUUUAUGAAAUAUCAUCUGCUUGUUUUCAUCUUUUAUGAAGAUGCAUCUAGGAUACAUCCUGGGCAAGUUGCCUGGACAAUCUAGGCAAUUGAGUUUCCUACUGAAUUUCCUCAGAG
rnacentral:lncRNA from 1 species